CGGAGCCACUAGGGGAGCAUUUGCUGAGACAAGGAGAAAUCCUUGGACCCUUCGAACCUGACCUGGGUAAUACCAGCGUAGGAAAGUGGCGAGCAGCAUUC
rnacentral:ncRNA from 1 species